CCAAUCGAACCCGGAGAUAGCUGGUUCUCCCCGAAAUAGCUUUAGGGCUAGCCUCGUUUAUGAGUCUGGCGGAGGUAGAGCACUGAAUGGGCUAGGGGCCUUACCGGGUUACCGAACCUUAUCAAACUCCGAAUGCCGUCAAGAUGCUGAACGGGAGUCAGACUGCGACAGAUAAGUGCCGUAGUCGAGAGGGAAACAGCCCAGACCAUCAGCUAAGGUCCCUAAAUCAUUGUUAAGUGGCAAAGGAUGUGGAUUUGCAAAGACAGCCAGGAUGUUGGCUUAGAAGCAGCCAUUCAUUGAAAGAGUGCGUAACAGCUCACUGGUCGAGUGGGUCUGCGCCGAAGAUGUCCGGGGCUAAACAGUGUACCGAAGCUAUGGGGCCAUGGAUGAUCCAUGGUUGGUAGGGGAGCGUACCGCAGGGAGCAGAAGCACGACUGGGAAGACGUGUGGAUCCAACGGUAGUGAGAAUGUCGGAAUGAGUAACGAGAGGAAGGUGAGAAUCCUUCCCGUCGAAAAUCCAAGGUUUCCUGGGGAAGGUUCGUCCACCCAGGGUUAGUCGGGGCCUAAGGCGAGGCUGAGAAGCGUAGUCGAUGGACAACAGGUUGAAAUUCCUGUACUACCGACCGGUGCAUGAGAGAGGCAGUGACACAGGAGGAAUGAGCGAGCGCGCGACUGGAAGAGCGCGUCCAAGCACAAAGGAUAGUCCCUUAGUGAAGUACGGGGGAUGUUUCUGAUGUGUGACGGGGAGGGAACCAAAGUACCGAAGCGUGACAUUUCACACUGGCGAGAAAACCUGCUAUCGAGCCGGAAGGUACCCGUACCGCAAACCGACACAGGUGGAUGAGGAGAGAAUCCUAAGACGAGCGGGAGAAGCAUUGUUAAGGAACUCGGCAAAUUAACCCCGUACGUUCGCAAGAAGGGGUGCCUGCUGAAAGGCAGGCCGCAGUGAAUCGGCCCGAGCAACUGUUUACCAAAAACACAGGUCUCCGCAAAAUCGCAAGAUGAUGUAUGGGGGCUGACGCCUGCCCGGUGCUGGAAGGUUACGGGAAUCUGUUAGCGCAAGCGAAGCAGUGAACUUAAGCCCCAGUAAACGGCGGCCGUAACUAUAACGGUCCUAAGGUAGCGAAAUUCCUUGUCAGGUAAGUUCUGACCCGCACGAAAGGCGUAAUGACUUGGGCACUGUCUCGACAAUGCGCCCGGUGAAAUUGUAGUACUUGUGAAGAUGCAAGUUACCCGCGACAGGACGGAAAGACCCCAUGGAGCUUUACUGUAGAUUGUUAUUGGGAUCCGGUAUUGUCUGUAUAGGAUAGGUGGGAGACGGCGAAGCGCUGGCGUCAGUUGGCGUGGAGUCAUCCUUGGAAUACCACUCUGACAGUAUUGGUUCUCUAACCGAUGGCCGUUAUCCGGUCACGGGACAUUGGCAGUCGGGCAGUUUGACUGGGGCGGUCGCCUCCCAAAAAGUAACGGAGGCGUUCAAAGGUUACCUCAGUACGGUUGGAAACCGUGCAUUGAGUGCAAAGGCAUAAGGUAGCCUGACUGCGAGACCGACAAGUCGAGCAGAUGCGAAAGCAGGACUUAGUGAUCCGGCGGUAGAAAGUGGAAUUGCCGUCGCUCAACGGAUAAAAGUUACCCUGGGGAUAACAGGCUGAUUCCUCCCAAGAGUUCACAUCGACGGGGGAGUUUGGCACCUCGAUGUCGGCUCAUCACAUCCUGGGGCUGUAGCAGGUCCCAAGGGUUGGGCUGUUCGCCCAUUAAAGUGGUACGCGAGCUGGGUUCAGAACGUCGUGAGACAGUUCGGUCCCUAUCUAUCGUGGGCGUAGGAAAUUUGAGAGACGCUGUCCCUAGUACGAGAGGACCGGGAUGGACGAACCGAUGGUGAACCGGUUGUCGCGCCAGCGGCACCGCCGGGUAGCUAAGUUCGGAUGGGAUAAACGCUGAAAGCAUCUAAGUGUGAAGCCCCCCUCAAGAUGAGAUUUCCCCACAUUAUGUGAUAAGGUCCCUGACAGACGAUCAGGUUAAUAGGCCGGAAGUGGAAGCGCAGCAAUGCGUGCAGCGGACCGGUACUAAUCGACCGAAGACUUGACC
rnacentral:rRNA from 1 species